AGAUCCCGGAUACAAGCGGCCGAAAUGAGUUUUCUCCGCAGGGUGUCCGGGCUCUCCCUUAGAGAUAAGGUGAGAAGCUCGGUCAUCCGGGAGGGGCUCAGAGUCGAGCCACUUCUCCUCCACAUCGAGAGGAGCCAGAUGAGGUGGCUUGGGCAUCUGAUUCGGAUGCCUCCUGAACGCCUCCCUGGUGAGGUGUUCCGGGCAUGUCCCACCGGGAGGAGACCCCGAGGAAGACCCAGGACACGCUGGAGAGACUAUGUCACCCAGCUUGCCUGGGAACGCCUCGGGAUCCCCGGGGAGAGCUGGAAGAAGUAGCUAGGGAGAGGGAAGUCUGGGCUUCCCUGCUAAAGCUGUUGCCCCCGCGACCCGGCCCCGGAUAAGCGGUAGAAGAUGGAUGGAUGGAUGGAUGGAUGGAUAGUUUUUUAUAAUAUCCCUUUUUAUGUGUUGACUUCCUGUGUUCAAGUUGUCCAGGGUGGGAAACAAUGGUCAGUCACAGGUGAUUUCACCCUGGUGGAUGGAACUAAAGGUUGCGGGUCGGACUUGGGACUCGUCUCAAUUACAGCAGAAAAUGAAUAGCGAAGGACUGCAUCUGUUCAUGUCAUUUUAAAAACAAAAAAAUACUUUAUAAUGCCACUUGUUUUUUGUCUUUUGAUCGAGCUUUAUAAUGUAAUGAAAUUAAAAUGAAAAUAGCGUUUUUCUCAGUAAUUUUUAGAUGAGAUUAAAUUAUAGAUUAAUUCAAUCAAUUAAUUCAGAUCUUAAUUAAUACAUCUCACAACCUUUUUAAUCGCUUGACAGCACUAAAUAGGACCAUGACAAAAAAAGUACACCUCGGCCUGAUCUUACAACCCUGCCCCAAGUGCAAAUAAUUUCACAAUAAUUUCACUUGUCCAUCAUGAGGCGCUUAUACUUCCACUUCCCAUUUGUAACAUGGAACUAAGAAGUAUUUGUCAAGCAAUCAACAGACAGCAUCGAGUCGAGCCACACCUUUAACUAGUGUUUAUGCCAAAAAAUGACUUUCAAACAAAACUCUGUACUCUGUGCGUUGACUUUAAAAAUGCCUCCACAAACAUACAUUUCGUCUUUCAGCCUUCAAACUGGACAGUUUUCAGAGACCACUCCUGGACGCUCUGUAUGACAUAAAUCGCUUUAUUAUCACUGACCGCUCCACACAAUCUGUGUCUAUUAACCGAUCACUGCGCAGGCCGUGUCUUCAUUGUCUUCCUCCAAUCUUUUCGUUUUGCAAUCAGCGCUUGCUUCAGAAUGGCAGCCAACCCAUCAAAUGGACUGAGAGGGGCUUUGGAAAACCAGGACAAGACCGUAGCUGGGGGGUUGGUUGAAAGGGAGUGGCAAGAUGUCCUUGUCCACAGGAGGAACACGCACACGUGCACGCACACAGACACUCAUGCGCGCACACACCCACGUGCUUCAGAUUUUUGGCAUUGUUGGAGCCAGAUUGCGUAGCGCAACUUCAGUCUGCCGUAAUUCACAACCCGAAGCAACGGAGCUAAAUGAUUCAUCCGCUGAAGCGGUUAAGCUGCAACGUCAUCCUCCCCGAGAGAACGCAACCAGGAGAAAGCUGUGCUCUGUCGAUCAGCCAAUUGUCUCAGAACCAGAGGUUCAGAAUUCUCCGGUCAGACAGAAGAACAAGAUGGAUAUCCCUCCAUGGACAAAUAAUCCAUCACAGAGAGAGUCCCGCCCGAAAUAAGACCACAUUGUCUUCAUCCUAUCGCAGUCCAACUGAGAAAGUGUAUUUCCUCAAUCAGGGUUGGAGGAGAUGUCACGCCCUAUGUCUUUUUUUUUUCUUUUUCUUUUUUAGCUCCGCAAAAUGGGAACAUGUUCACUUUUAUGAUAAUGAAUAGAACAGAGUCGUCAGGCGAGCCUUUUUAAUAUGCAGUUACUGUGGAAACUCCAGGCUUAACAUCUUCUGCCAAGCAUAUCAAAAUAAGAUAAAGAAGAGACAAAAAAAAAACAUAAGAGAAAGGCCUUCGGGCACUAUUUUGCCUGUUGACACCCUUGAGAGGUGAAGUGUCGCCUGGUGCUAUAUUGAAGGCAGUCACAGCUCCUGUCGAAGGAAGAAACUGAAGUGGUGGAGACUGAGGCGGUGGGGGGUGGGGCGGGGGGGUGUACAGUUUUACACGUGACAUCAACCACCACGCUGACACACAACCAAAUUAUGCCGUUAUUUACUAUGAAAUAACGUCGUUUCAAUGGUGCAGCCAAUUUGAAUGACAUUUGCUGAUCCAAGAAUACUUCUACAUGGAUGGAUAUAUCACCCUGUAACCCACUGGUGUCAAAGUCAAGGCGCGGGGGCCAAAUCCGGCCCGCUCCGUCAUUUUAUGUGGCCCGCGGAAGCAGAUCAUGUGUGUCUGUACUAAAAUGUCAAAUUAUCAUGUGUCUUAAAUAACACCGACAUUUUGCAAUAAUACCGUCUUUGUUACGGAUUUGCUUUUCUGUUUGUUGUGUAUGUUCAUUGCUCCAUGUUUGUCACUUUGUAUGCAGCGAUGGCUGUUUGAAAGUGCUUUAUAAAUACAGUUGAGUUGAGUUGAGAUAAUGUUUUUACCCUGUCGACACUCACUUAACAAUUGAGCAACAAACAGUUGAGUGAUUUCAAAAUUAGUAAUCCAUCAAUUGUUCUGUCAAAGUUAUAAUAUGAUGAGAUGAUUGCGUAAACAUUCAUUCGGCCUCACUGUCUGAACGGCCCUCCAAGGAACUCCAGUGUGGCCCGCGGCAAAAAUGAGUUUCACACCCCUGCUGUAACCUGAUAACCUGAUAAGAUAAAAAUCAAGGUGCGCCCGUUUUUUUUCGAUUUGCUUGUUGAUGCCUGAGAGCUUGUGCACAGUCUACAAAAAUGGAACCCUAUGAUUCAAUGCUGACUUAAAGAUCAUAAAUUGAGAGGUGUCUCAGAAGAGAGAUGCACCAGAACACUCGAUGUAAUGCGUAUAAUGGCCCUGUGUCCCCCGUACGGGCAAAAAGUGAGUUUAUUACAUGCCUCCAUCUACCUUUUAGAAGGUGCCGUCACUUCUAUUCCGCGCGUUCAUCUUGUGGUUGGCCGCGGCCACACCACUUGGCGCCGCACCAAAUACGCUGGUAUGAAUCUAUCGGAGGACGAAUCUUCAAUACGACUCAAGGGGGAAAUUGCUCAUGAGUGUACAUGAUGAAUGAUGCAUGCAGCUGCAUGUGACCUAAGCAUUACUCUUGGCUCGGUUUUCAGUGAACACAAUAACCCAAGGUUAUAUUGAAAAGAGUGACUGCACAUCUACAUCUCCAGCUGCUUGAUAACCUUGUUGCAACUAGGGAGUCUGAGACAUUUUUCCUGUCAUAAUUUGAUCCAGAACACAAUUUUAUUAUUGCAAAAGUAAAGCCUCGCGGGCAACUAACUUGACAACCGCCUUUAAGACAAUCAGGUGAUUGAGCACUCUUUCGAUUUAAAAAAAUAAUAAACAAUUGUCUGAAGACUAUCUUCUGAGGGAUUUGUUACGAAGCCGCAUACCAUGUAGCCUGUGAUGGGGAGGAAAUAAUGAGCGAAUGAAACUCGGUGAAGCAUGAGUGAACAGAUGGAUAGACUGUGGAUCUAAUUUGCCCCCUUCCGGACUUGGCCUCUACGAAACCAGUUUGAUACAUACUGCUUGCUGCCUUUGGCAUGACCGCGGUCCAUAAAAUCAAGCGCAGCGCGCACACAAUGAGCAAAAACAGACACAUACUCUUCACGUUUUUAGUCUUAAAAAUCCAGAGAGGUCGAUACAAAACUUGUUGGUUAGCACAAUCCUCUAAAAUUGUCCUACAGGACACAGACACUUCUGAUGGCUAAACUUAGACUCACACGUUUGCAUUUUAUUUUUAGUAGGCUCUCUUCAUCCAAAGACAUUUGCCGUGUUCUUUGUUUUCAUUGCAACGUGACUGCAAAGAGCUGUCAUUUACAGACGGUGUGCCGCUAGCUAUGUAAAAGAAUCCAAUAUGGAUUGUGAAAAUGAGAGUAUUCAAGUAUGAGUCAAAAAGGUCCUAAAAAGGCUAAGAGGUGUCAUGUUUUGUCUUGAUUGCGCUCCAGCUCCAGCUGGAGUGAAGGGCGGUUCCCUCCAGCAGGUGCACCUGCGCCUCGUUUCCUCAUCAAGGCUGGCUUGUUAUUUAAGGGCUCUGAUUUCUGUCGGGUUUCUGACCCUGUUUGUUGUUGUGUGUCAAGUGUGACCCCCCCCCCCCCCCCCGACUUCUUGAUUCUAUUCAUAGCCGCUCUCGUUUUUGCUCAUACAUACUUGUUUGUAAUUAUUUUUCUUAUUCGACUAUUGCUCUUUGUUUUUGUUUUAUUGGACUUUUGCAUAUUCCAUUUGCGUAUUCUCUGUGUUCUAUUGAACUCUGACUUUGCAAGCGCUUUUGGUUUCGUCAAGUGUUUUUCCUGGCCUCUUGAGACCAGAGAUUUCAGUGUAUAUUUUGUCAAUGCGAUUUUCUUGAAUAAAGUUUUUUUUAAUCGCGCUUUGUCUGAAUAAAGUUUUAGAUUCUCCAAAAAAGGUC